rnacentral:rRNA from 1 species
GAUGAACGCUAGCGGCAGGCUUAAUACAUGCAAGUCGUGGGGCAGCAGGUCUGUAGCAAUACAGAUGCUGGCGACCGGCAAACGGGUGCGGAACACGUACACAACUUUCCUUUAAGUGGGGAAUAGCCCAGAGAAAUUUGGAUUAAUACCCCGUAACAUAGUGAAAAGGCAUCUUUUUAUUAUUAUAGCAGCAAUGCGCUUAAUGAUGGUUGUGCGUUUGAUUAGGUAGUUGGCGGAGUAAUAGCCCACCAAGCCUACGAUCAGUAACUGGUGUGAGGGCACGACCAGUCAAACGGGCACUGAGGCACGGGCCCGACUCCUACGGGGGGCAGCAGUAAGGAAUAUUGGGCAAUGAACGCGAGUCUGACCCAGCCAUGCCGCGUGGAGGAUGAAGGUCCUCUGGAUUGUAAACUUCUUUUAUCUGGGAAGAAAUCCAUCUUUUCUUGGGUGGUUGACGGUACCAGAUGAAUAAGCACCGGCUAACUCCGUGCCAGCAGCCGCCGUAA